GACGAACGCUGGCGGCGUGCUUAACACAUGCAAGUCGAACGGAAAGUCCCUGCUUUUGUGUGGUGCUCGAGUGGCGAACGGGUGAGUAACACGUGAUUAACCUUCCCUUGACUUUGGGAUAACUUCAGGAAACUGGGGCUAAUACCGGAUAUGAGCUCCUGCUGCAUGGUGGGGGUUGGAAAGUUUCGUCGGUUGGGGAUGGACUCUCGGCCUAUCAGCUGGUUGGUGGGGUAGUGGCUUACCAAGCAUUUGACGGGUAUCCGGCCUGAGAGGGUGACCGGCCAGACUGGGGCUGAGAUACGGCCCAGACUCAUACGGGAGGCAGCAGUGGGGAAUAUUGCACAAUGGGCGGAAGCAUGAUGCAGCAACGCAGCGUGCGGGAUGACGGACUUCGGGUUGUAAACCGCUUUCGCCUGUGACGAAGCGUGAGUGACGGUAAUGGGUAGAGAAGCACCGGCUAACUACGUG
rnacentral:rRNA from 1 species